CUGCGGUCGCCGGAAUAACGUAUCGCAGGCAGCUGCUCGGCACGCCGGGAACAUCGCGCUGCAUCUGCACCAUUUGGCUUAGUCCUCUUUAUGCAUUUCUACUUUCUGGUUGCUACGUUUCGGCACCUUCAAAAGGCACGUACGCCAUGUUAACUAUUUAAUGUGUAUCACGUGCUUAUGUGCCGUCUUCUGAAGUGUUGUUUUCCGGGUGCCUAUUGCCUUCGGCCCCACCUGGGAUUUUAUCAGCAAGGUGUGAAAACGCGACCGACAGUGCAGGAAAGCUGCACGGUACGUGCUGCGCGGCUCUCUGGUGCGCAGACACGGGUCGAAGCAUCCAGACCAUGUUUUGCACUUCGCCGCGGACGAAAGAUCACCAUUGCCGGACGUUAUACGGCCUUUUACCAUGCUGGCCAAUGGAGCACUCGUAAUUUAUCUUUUGUGCCUUUCACUCACUGAAGCGCUGAUGUUCUUUAAUAACGUCAAAUUUAUUCCAAUUCAAUGCACCGUAACUUCCGGAGGAGAAUGCUUCCUUUUCAACAAGACAUUUACUGGAAGGAUUCAUACACCAGGAAAAUGUGAAAUGUGGUCUUGUUAUCCUGAGAGCCGUACUGUGGUGGUAGUUAGGUGUGGCAAGCUUCCAUACGGCUGUUAUUCCCUUGGCGGACCCGACCUCCCACUCCCGAAGUGCUGUAGCACCUACUGUGACCCGUAUAUGUUUACGUGUCUCACGCCUGAGAACAAGUUAUUGUUGAACAAUCAAGAAUACAACUCGACAAACCCAUGCGUGCGGUACUCUUGCCAGAAAGGAGCUCUCGUAACAAUUACAUGCCUAGGAUACGGGGAUACGAGUUGUUCUGCUUCGAACAUCAACCCUUACUUGCCUUUUCCGGCAUGCUGUGGCGUGGGAAAGGUUUGCCCACGUUGAAAAAUCAGAAGAGUCAAUUUGUUCAUCCAAAUUGCCAAAAAAACCUCCCCAGAAUAGCGAAUUAAAACGUUUUGCUACACCAUUUAUUCAUUAUUUUUAUACUUUUUAAUUGCUACGAAACAUAAUUAUUGCCAAAUAAAAAUAACAAUAUUUUUCGAAAGUACGUAUAAUGUACAA